CGCAAAUUGCGCCCUUUGGUAUUCCGAAGGGCAUGCCUGUUUGAGUGUCAUAUAGACCUCACCCAGAUUGGUUUAUUCAACCAAGCUGCUGGUGCUUUGGACGUCCUGCCGGACUCACCUCUGGCUCGUCUUAAAUGUCUAAGUGGAAAGAGCGUGAUAAGUCUUCGCUUAACCCUCCACUCUAAUACUCCUUUUGACUCUGGCCUCAAAUCAGGUAGGACUACCCGCUGAACUUAA
rnacentral:misc_RNA from 1 species